rnacentral:rRNA from 1 species
AAUGGCAUCGUUUUAAAGUUAAAGAUUUAUCGGUAGAAGAUGACUAUGCGUCCUAUUAGCUAGAUGGUAAGGUAACGGCUUACCAUGGCAACGAUAGGUAGGGGUCCUGAGAGGGAGAUCCCCCACACUGGUACUGAGACACGGACCAGACUCCUACGGGAGGCAGCAGUGAGGAAUAUUGGGCAAUGGAGGCAACUCUGACCCAGCCAUGCCGCGUGCAGGAAGACUGCCCUAUGGGUUGUAAACUGCUUUUAUACAGGAAGAAACGUACCUACGAGUAGGUAUUUGACGGUACUGUAAGAAUAAGGACCGGCUAACUCCGUGCCAGCAGCCGCGGUAAUACGGAGGGUCCGAGCGUUAUCCGGAAUCAUUGGGUUUAAAGGGUCCGCAGGCGGUCGAUUAAGUCAGAGGUGAAAUCCCAUAGCUUAACUAUGGAACUGCCUUUGAUACUGGUUGACUUGAGUGAUACGGAAGUAGAUAGAAUAUGUAGUGUAGCGGUGAAAUGCAUAGAUAUUACAUAGAAUACCGAUUGCGAAGGCAGUCUACUACGUAUUUACUGACGCUCAUGGACGAAAGCGUGGGGAGCGAACAGGAUUAGAUACCCUGGUAGUCCACGCCGUAAACGAUGGACACUAGUUGUUGGGAAUUAUCUCAGUGACUAAGCGAAAGUGAUAAGUGUCCCACCUGGGGAGUACGAUCGCAAGAUUGAAACUCAAAGGAAUUGACGGGGGCCCGCACAAGCGGUGGAGCAUGUGGUUUAAUUCGAUGAUACGCGAGGAACCUUACCAGGGCUUAAAUGUGGAAUGACAGGGCUAGAGAUAGCUUUUUCUUCGGACAUUUCACAAGGUGCUGCAUGGUUGUCGUCAGCUCGUGCCGUGAGGUGUCAGGUUAAGUCCUAUAACUAGCGCAACCCCUAUUGUUAGUUGCUAGCAGGUAAAGCUGAGGACUCUAGCGAGACUGCCGGUGCAAACCGCGAGGAAGGUGGGGAUGACGUCAAAUCAUCACGGCCCUUACGUCCUGGGCUACACACGUGCUACAAUGGUAUGGACAAUGAGCAGCCAUCUGGCAACAGAGAGCG